AACGUACGCUGGCGGCACGCCUAACACAUGCAAGUCGAACGCAGUAGCAAUACUGAGUGGCAGACGGGUGAGUAACAUGUGGGAAUCUGCCUUGUGGUUCAGGACAACAUUGGGAAACCGAUGCUAAUACUGGAUAAGCCCUUACGGGGAAAGUUUUAAUGCCAUAAGAUGAGCCCGCAUUUGAUUAGUUAGUUGGUGAGGUAAUGGCUCACCAAGACAAUGAUCAAUAGCUGAUCUGAGAGGAUGAUCAGCCACACUGGGACUGAGACACGGCCCAGACUCCUACGGGAGGCAGCAGUGGGGAAUUUUGGACAAUGGGCGCAAGCCUGAUCCAGCAAUGCCGCGUGCAGGAAGAAGGCCUCGGUGUAAACUGCUUUGUACGACGAAAGGUUCCAUUAAUACUGGAGCUCAUGACGGUACCGUAAGAAUAAGCACCGGCUAACUACGUGCCAGCAG
rnacentral:rRNA from 1 species